GGAAACUGGCGAGGGUGGAAGGUUAGAGGUCAAGCGGUCCCUGCGCGAGGCCGGGCGCGGGCAGUGAGCGCGGAGGAGCUGUUGGCGAGGGUUCCGGCCAGCCAGUCAGUCACCGCGCAGAGGGCAAAGUAGUGUGGACUUUGUGCAAGCGACGUCCCUGAAAAUGGAAAACAACGCAACCAUAGAAAUUCUGAAAUCUACCAGACCAUCCAUCCUUAAAGAAGAGGCAAUCGCAGAAAGAAAAUGGGUGAAGCUUGAACAGACGACCUAUGUUGAUCCCUCAGGUAAAACCAGGUAAUUUCCUUGCUGAGACAUUUUAAAAUU